GAAACUCACCAGGUCCAGACAUGGGAAGGAUUGACAGAUUGAGAGCUCUUUCUUGAUUCUAUGGGUGGUGGUGCAUGGCCGUUCUUAGUUGGUGGAUUGAUUUGUCUGGUUGAUUCCGACAACGAACGAGACCUUCUCCAGCUUAAUAAGCUUGAUACUUUUUGUGUCGAGUUUUCUUAGCGGGACUUUGUGCGUCACAGCAUAAUGAAGCGAAGGCAAUAA
rnacentral:rRNA from 1 species